AUGCACAUUAAUAGUUGCAGUAAGCUUGAGUCCACAUAUGGCAGGAAGCAGCAGCAGGGACAGUCAGUAUCAUCGAUUCGUCAAGGGUCAUCCAGUAUAGAAGAAUUAUCAUUAUACAACUGUGAUGGCUUAACAGGGGUCCUCUAUUUUCCCCCGUCCCUCAAGAGACUAGAAAUUGUUAAGUGUGGUGGGUUGGCAUCUCUGAAAUCCUGCUCUCCCGAGCUCCAAUCCUUGGAGCACCUCCACCUUUGGAAUUGCAAGACCCUGGAAUCCCUACCGGAUGUGCCGCAAGCAUACUCAUCUCUCCAACAUAUUUGCAUCAGCGACUGCCCUGGUAUGAAGACGCUCCCUGCAAGCCUGCAGCAACACCUUGGCAGCAUCCAGGAGGAACACAUAGAUGCCCAUCUUUAUGGAAAUAAGCCAAGGCCUAUGCUGCUGAAGCCCAAGACAUGGAAGUAUGUCUGCAAAGGUUGA
rnacentral:rRNA from 1 species